AGCAGUCGCCGCGGUAAUACGAAGGGUGCAAGCGUUACUCGGAAUUACUGGGCGUAAAGCGUGCGUAGGUGGUGAGUUAAGUCUGCUGUGAAAUCCCCGGGCUCAACCUGGGAAUGGCAGUGGAUACUGGCUCGCUAGAGUGUGUCAGAGGAUGGUGGAAUUCCCGGUGUAGCGGUGAAAUGCGUAGAGAUCGGGAGGAACAUCAGUGGCGAAGGCGGCCAUCUGGGACAACACUGACGCUGAGGCACGAAAGCGUGGGGAGCAAACAGGAUUAGAUACCCCAGUAGUCCCUGUCUCUUUACA
rnacentral:rRNA from 1 species